GCCAGUCUGCGUGGAGCCGACCUUGAAAUACCACCCUUUAAUGUUUGAUGUUCUAACGUGGAUCCGUAAUCCGGGUUGCGGACAGUGUCUGGUGGGUAGUUUGACUGGGGCGGUCUCCUCCUAAAGAGUAACGGAGGAGCACGAAGGUUGGCUAAUCCUGGUCGGACAUCAGGAGGUUAGUGCAAUGGCAUAAGCCAGCUUGACUGCGAGCGUGACGGCGCGAGCAGGUGCGAAAGCAGGUCAUAGUGAUCCGGUGGUUCUGAAUGGAAGGGCCAUCGCUCAACGGAUAAAAGGUACUCCGGGGAUAACAGGCUGAUACCGCCCAAGAGUUCAUAUCGACGGCGGUGUUUGGCACCUCGAUGUCGGCUCAUCACAUCCUGGGGCUGAAGUAGGUCCCAAGGGUAUGGCUGUUCGCCAUUUAAAGUGGUACGCGAGCUGGGUUUAGAACGUCGUGAGACAGUUCGGUCCCUAUCUGCCGUGGGCGCUGGAGAACUGAGGGGGGCUGCUCCUAGUACGAGAGGACCGGAGUGGACGCAUCACUGGUGUUCGGGUUGUCAUGCCAAUGGCACUGCCCGGUAGCUAAAUGCGGAAGAGAUAAGUGCUGAAAGCAUCUAAGCACGAAACUUGCCCCGAG
rnacentral:rRNA from 1 species